UUUCCAUUUUGCCCCUGCUUUUCAAUUCGUCUUCCCAUUUUGUCCCUUGGCUGUCUUCCUGAUCUCGUCUUGUUUUCCCACGCUGUGCAUUUCUAAUUCGGUUUCUUGUCUUCUUCUCCAGAACCUUCCAUCCUUCAGUUUUCGAGAGCUUUUUCUUAUCUUCUUCUCGAGAGCCUUCGAUCAUUCAGCUUCUCGAAAUCUCAUUCUUUGCUUCCGAAUCUCCUUUCCUAUGAUUUUUAAUUUUUUUUUGUUUUCCACCGCUUUCACCCUCUUAUCAGAUUCUGAAUUUUGCUUAUUUUUUUCCUCACCGCCUUCACCGCUUGCCGCUUGGUAUAAGAGUGACUUUCAUCUUCUUUGGUUGCGGUCUAUAUUUCUCUCUCAACUCAGACCCCCUCUCUUUUCUCUGCAUUUUUUUCUCCAUUUUUCAGUUUUUUUGCUCCCCCCCACGCCUCCUCUGCUCUCCCCAACCGAUUUCUCUCCAUUUUUCUGCUCACACACCUAAAGGCACGGAGCAAAAGCUCACCGCCGAUCUCUGAAAGAAGCUUCAAGAAAUGACGCCGAUCAUAUUUUUUCCUAAUCUUUUUUAUUAUUUUCUUUUAUUUCAGAAAUAAUA